rnacentral:rRNA from 1 species
GGAAUGGGCAACGGUAGGUCAGCAUGCCCCGAAUUAUCUGGGCUACACGCGGGCUACAAUGGGUGGGACAAUGGGUAUCGACACCGAAAGGUGAAGGCAAUCUCCUAAACCCAUCCGUAGUUCGGAUUGUGGGCUGCAACUUGCCCACAUGAAGCUGGAAUCUGUAGUAAUCGUGUCUCAAAAUGGCACGGUGAAUAUGUCCCUGCUCCUU